CAGCCGCCGCGGUAAAACGUAGGUGGCAAGCGUUGUCCGGAAUUAUUGGGCGUAAAGGGCUCGCAGGCGGUUUCUUAAGUCUGAUGUGAAAGCCCCCGGCUCAACCGGGGAGGGUCAUUGGAAACUGGGAAACUUGAGUGCAGAAGAGGAGAGUGGAAUUCCACGUGUAGCGGUGAAAUGCGUAGAGAUGUGGAGGAACACCAGUGGCGAAGGCGACUCUCUGGUCUGUAACUGACGCUGAGGAGCGAAAGCGUGGGGAGCGAACAGGAUUAGAUACCCGCGUAGUCCCUGUCUCUUAUAC
rnacentral:rRNA from 1 species